AGGCAGUCACUUAACCAACUGAGCCACCCAGGUGCCCCGAAUGGGUAUUUUAAAAAAGUAAAGUGUGUCAGGGCCAGAAGAAUACAGUUCAAGGUGAUAUUAUGAAACAGAUCUGUUUGGCACCUGUAGGCGUUGGGAGUUGCAACUCUCAAUACCGAGGUCAUCGGACGAGCUUUGGGUACGUCUUUUCACUGGGGGGCUAUGGUAUACCUUUGACAAGUUUUGAAAGGAGAUUUUCGUAGAGAAAGUGGAACAGAGAGAGGACAUGGGACCCCUCUCUCCCCCUUGCCCACAGCAGAGCUACUAAAAGGAGGAUCAGUUUGUUUAGACACUGAGUCCAGUUGUCCAAAAGGCUGGGCUUUGGGAACUCUGCACCGAUUUCCUGGAGGAUUACCUUGAUCCGCCCACGGGCCAUCAUGCAACAGAGCUCGGGGAGUUGGAGCUCGGGGUUCCUCUGCCACUUGUUGACUUGACCCUGACGUUGCCUCGAGGACACCCACUUCUUAUUUGGGGAAAUAAACUGCAAAUAAGCCACAGCCCAAACGGACCACACUCGUGGUUCCCUGGACAAGAGGUGCCGUGUUCUACCUGCCCAGUACUGCAGACGGUCCGCCGCUGGGCUCAUCCCUGCUCGUGAACUGCCUUCUGGUCUCUGCUUCCGGCCGUCCUUCAACUCCACCAUCUAAUACUUCUUUUGUGAAGCCAGGAGGCUCCGUAAAGGUUAAAAAUAAUUCAGCGAUGUUGUGCUGCGCAUAAUUGGCAGGUCGUGAGCCAUCUGGAGAGCAGGAGAACCAGUUCUCUUGCUUCUCUUGGUUUGGUCUGUUUACUCUGCUGGUGCCCGUCCCUGACGCUUGGGCUGGGAGACCUGCUGAGGAAUGCUUCCUCUGGGGUUCCGACGGGCACGGCUAUUUGUCAUGGCCUCAGAAGCUGCUUGGGGGCAGACGUCACGGAACCCGGAGGCUGGAGGCCACGUGCCCAGGGAGAUAGCAGAAGGUGGAGACCCUGAUGGCCUUGCAGAGCUGCUCUCUGACAACGCACCGCUAGUCUCCGGGAAAGUAGAAGAAUGAACCCACAUAUGUCAAUGACCGAGUUUCCUGUUAAACGAAGUCAAACCUAAUUGGAGCAGAUGCAGGGACCCUCAGUGAUGCCGAGCUGUUUUCCUGCUCUCAUCUACACGCUGUGCCAUGUGGGCAAAGAUCUCUAAUAAAGAACGGAAUCCCACAACUCGAAUCUCUGCGAAGACCUUGUGUACACAAUAAAAUAGAUCUGUUUGCGCUAUUGUUCUUAGAA